UUUUUUAGAUAAAGGAUCAAUGCCGAGUCUUUCUGGUUUGGUGAAUCAUAAUAACUUUUCGAAUCGCCCGGCCUACGCGCUGGCGAUAGGUCAUUCAAGUUUUUGGCCUAUCAGCUUUUGACGGUAAGGUAUUGGCCUACCGUGGGUUUUACGGGUUAAGGAGGAUUAGGGUUCGAUUCCGGAGAGGGAGCCUGAGAAACGGCUUCCCCAUCCAAGGAAGGCGGCAGGCGCGCGAAUUACCCAAUCCUGAUACAGGGAGGUAGUGACCAUAAAUAACAAUACCGGGCUUUUCAAGUUUGGUAAUUGGAAAAAGGGCAAUUUAAAUCCCUUAACGAGGAUCC
rnacentral:rRNA from 1 species